rnacentral:lncRNA from 1 species
AUGCGCCGUUGGUCACCCCUGCUAGCAUGUAGGCAUCACCAGCCUGUAAGGGAUCAUUGCUUUUGUUCUCCGACAGGUCCGAAGUGCCUAGAACAAUGACCUGUAUGUGGGAGAUAUUCAAGAGACAUUUCUUGAAUGAAUACAUGAAUGAAUGAAUGGCUCUCAAGUCAAGCUGCCUGGGUUCACAGUCUGCUCCUGCCGUCAGCUAGAGAUGUGGUGCUCAACAAACAGUGCUCAGUGAACACUUGUGUGUUCAGCCGUCUUCCAGGAUCUGGAACUAGCAGGAUCUGGAACCAGCAGGAUCUGGAACUAGCAGGACCUGGAACUAGCAAAUGAUGGACUCCAGUGCCUCUGGGCCUACUUUUCCAGGGUGAUUUGUAGGACCUCACACGUGUAGGGAAGGGAACCCGGGGAGUCGCAACACCCACUUUCAAACCCCGGCCUCAUCACCUGCUGGUGUCUUUGGACCCCUGAUUCAUCCUCUGUCGAACGUGGAGAGGCAUGCCUGGCCCCGCCUUCUUGACCAAGGUGUCUGGGAACUGACAUAUGAGAAAGUAAGUGAGA